UUAUUGUUACUUUUGUGAGUUUCAAGUGAUUUCAGUGAGAAUUGUGGGUUUUUCCUUCUUUAACUGAGGGGUACCAACAAUUUUGUCCACGUGUGUAAAUGAAAAUCUGUGAACCAACAGGCAAGAACAUUAGGAAGUGUAUGAAGACAGCACUGUAGCUUGUCAUACAUACUGCAUGUGCAGCUCUGUCCAAGGGUUGUUCUAUGUGUUUAAAUUCAAAUUAAAAUCAAAUUAAAUCAGUUUUAUUGUCAUUAUGCAAUGCAAAAUGAAAACUUUGCAUUUUUAUUAUUUUGCACUGUGUUAUAAGACUGUCUUUUUUCUUUUCUGUAUUGCAAUGAGUCAGGUAAUUAACUAAUGCCUAGAUUUUUGUUUUGUUUUGUGGGUGCUAUUGUUAUCAAUGCUAUCAUUAUCAAUCUAAAGAAAAAUAAAUUAAAUUAAGUAAAUAGCAUCCAUCAAUGUAAUGAUUUGUAGUGGCACAAAAAAUCCCUGUGAUUUAUGUCUAAAUGAUGACUGAUUUUUUUUACCAGUAAAUUUGCAUGUGAAUCUAUAUAUCUAUAUUUGUAUCUGUAAAUUUAAUCUAUAACUAGCAUAUCAAAAUUUGUACAACAACUUAAUAUUUUUCGAAAUAUGGCUGUUUCUAAAUAUCAAGUGAUUGCCUGUAGUUGGCGAUAGAGCACCAUUUCCAGAUGCCAACUCUGUGAGCAUAGGCUGCAUGUGUGGAAUUCAUGUCAUGUCUGAGUCAGAAAACUUCCUUCAGAUGACUGAAAACCAUUUGUGGUAACAAUUCAUGGUAUUUAGUCUGCAAGUUGACCAGCUACAGAACAAAGCUAGACAACUGCUUGGCUUAUAGCUUGUUGGCUGGUUAGCCUAGAAAUGUCUUUCUCAUCAUUUAGACAGGGAUACAGGACAUUUUACAAGUCAUUCGCUUCCUGAAUUAGUGAAUUCAGUGUAGAACACAACUUUCUGAAAGAAUGCAUGCAUAAAGGUAGAAACUGACAAAUCUAUUCCCACUGAGCAACUGCUAAGUUAAAUGUUCAUAUUAUGAUAUACAAGUGACAAAUCAGACCUACAGAGAACAAUCGCUCGUGAGUUGUUUGUGGAUUGUGUUGUAAAAGUUACAAAUUAGAGGCACGGAGAGUCAUAUUUCACACGGCCACAACAGGUCCUUUUUGUAUAUCUUAAGACAUGAGAAGUAAUUUCCGAAACGAAGAUUAUCAAAAUCAAUACAAUCCUGGUGAAUAAUAAGAGGAAAGAGUGAUUAAUUCUUUGUUGAUCAUACUGAUAGUUGAAGCUACUACAAAAUAAAUGAGUGGUAAACCAGAAAUAAAAAUUGGAUGAAUCUGAGCAUAUUAGCAGACAUAACUGCAAUGCUGUGAUUUCAAGCAGCCGCGUGAUGGUGGGAUCCUCAGAAAAUUGUGUACACUCCUUCAUCACUUUUAGUUAAAAAAUACAUGAGAAACAACGUCAACUCUUGAUAUUUUUUGGCAGUUAAUGAUUCCAUGCACAGAGAAACAUGUAUUUAAACUUAUGCUGCUUUCUGUGACAGAAUUUUGGGAUGUCUGAUGCAACAGUAGACUAAAGGGACUUUACAUUUUUUGUUAAUAGAUGCUCAGUAUUCUGCUUGGUUGUUGCUUUGCAUGUUUUUAAAACUGUCUUAUCUGACUUAAAGAUCUAUUCGCUGUGGUGGCCCUCAGAUGUAAAACACAACAAUGUCUGGAAACAAAACAACAUUUUACAGGAUGUACCGUAAUAAGAAAAUACAAAACACAAUAACAUUUUAGAAACACAAUGUUGUGUUUUUGGAAAAGUUGUCAUGUUUUGCACCUCAGGGGCACCACAGUCAGUCUAACCUUCGGCUUUAAGCUUUAUUGUGUUUCGAUCCUUAAUUUUUAUGUAUAUAUGUACUUUUCUGUAUGUAAGGGCUGAGUGGCUGUAGUCUGAUACUCUAUCUAGACAAAUUAGAUCAGCCACAACAAUAAAACCACUGAUAAUUGAUCCAUAACACAUUGGUCAUCUCAUUUUGAUGCCAUGAUCUCCUGUGAAAUUUUCGUUUCCGGUAUUCGUGUGGAUGCUACCUUUUGGCACAUACCACCCACCAAACCUUUUUCUAAGCUAAGUUCCCCCAUGACACUGACACUCGCUAACCUCCCCAACAGGACAAUGUGCCUCACAACAUUGCCAGAACUACUCAGGAAUGGCUCAACAACCAUGACAAAAAAAAAGUCUAAGGCAGUAUCCCGACCACCAAACUGCCCUGAUCUCAAUCCACAUAGUCACAGUAAGGCCCAAACAAACCUGAUGCAUGAAAUCCCCGCCCUACAACCUGUAGAAUAGUAUGCAAGUGUUUUUUAUGUUUUGGCUGAUCUAUCUAUACUGCAAAAUUUCCAUUAUUUGCCAAACUUAUAGUUGCCUGCCAAAUAUAUUGUAUAUUUCUUGAAAGACAUACAAAUGUAUGCAAAUGUUUGCAUCCUCCACCCCCCAGAGUAAUUACAUAUUUAGUUUAUUUUUUAAGUGAAAAUUACAUAAGACAAACUCUGCAACAAACAAGCACUGACAUGACCAUGUACAAAACUAUGGUCACCCUACUCAGUCAGUACCUAGAAACCCUAAGUAAUGCCUUUAAACAGCUAAGAAUCUCCUUGCUCUUGUUUCAGGGAUUUUUAGCCACUCCUCCUUACAGAUCACUUCAGCAGAAACUGAAGCUAGAUGCACCUGAAUGUGUUUUUACAGGGGAAGGCCUCCGCUUUGUAGGCAUCAGUUACCUUCAUUUUCAGAGCCUCUGUCAUUUGCUUAGAGGAGCUCACAGGUGUUGAGUUUUACUGCAGUUUUUGAUGAGUCAGUAUAUCAACUCUGGAAUUGCUGUCACCUUGCAGUUCCUAAUGAUAUAUUUUUUUGACUGCUUUACAAGUUCUGACAUAUGAAUUGAGGCCCAACUAGUUGGUGAAGUUCUGAAAAGAAGGGGAUAAAACCUUUUCACAUGCCACAAUCAUUGUUUAAUUGUGUUCUCCUCCUUGGGUACAUAUAAUAGAAAACAGUGCAUUCACAUUUUUAAAAAGUUUCAUUUUAACCACUUGUUUGUUGCAGAGGCUGUAUUUACUUGUUUUUUACUUCAAAAAUCAAACAAAUUUGACUUUGGGUGUAAACUUUUGGGGGCAAAUCUUUGCAUGCAAAUAUAACUUUUCAAUAGAUUUUGAAUGUAUAUAUUAUGAAAACCGUUUUUAACUAGCUAUAAAUAGGUAACUGAUUUAUGCAAGUGUUUCUGUGGUCAAAAAAGGAUUGUGACCGCUCCACAGUAAUUCUCAUAUUAGAAUGUUUCAACUGUACACCAAUAUGAAUGUAUUUUACUCUAUUAUCUUUGUGACAUCUCAGUGAAAACUGAUAGCAAUUAUUGCCAGCUUAGUAACAUUUUGAUAGCAAAUGAUAUUUAAAAUCCACAUAAUAAUGAGAUUUAUUAUACUAGCAGUAUAAGUUAAGUAUUUAUCAAGUACAGCAUUUGCUUGCCAAAGUGUAAGGCUGAUCCCAGUUCAAGCCAAAAACAAAUGUACUUACUUUUUGCACACCCUUUGUUAUUUGUGUUAAUUGUAUUACUAAAUAAAAUAAAUAAAUAUUUAUUAAAACAAAUUGCGAUUUUUUUAACAGGCAGGAAAGUCAGUCAGGUGACUGAGAACGUGGUGAUAUCAGCAGUUUUGUGGGUUUCGUUGUACUUAUUGGAUUGUUUAAUAUGUUUCUUUUGGAGGACUACUCCAGCUUUUUCAAAGUGUGCCAUCAAAUUUAAAUGUAAACACAAUUCUUUUUGGAACACUCCGUUGUAAUGCACAAUGCCACAACAUUCCAAGCUGCUUAAAUCUAUCCUCACAACUCAACAGACCACUGAUCGACACAGACGCUGUAUCUUGUUCGUGAAAAACCUCAGCAAAAGCUAGGAUGGAAGACAAACGUCAAAGUAAGUGAGAAAUCCUGACUUAAAAAACCUGCUAUCACUCAUGUUAAUGAUCCAAAUGAUUCAUCAGGGAGAGUCAGAGCUAAUCAUUUAGUACCAAUCCAGUUAGUAGGGGUGUAACGGUACACAAAAAUCACGGUUCGGUGCUCAGUUAAAGGGAAAAAUUUUUAAAAAACUGCUGAUAUGACUUUCUGGCUUAAGUGUGGAAGAGAAGGAACUUCAUAACGGGGCUCUAUCACCUAAAAUAGGAAAUAUAUUUUAAUGCAAUUGCUUUUUUUAAAAAAACAACAAUAUAAUUUAGUUAGGCUCUUGUUUACCAGCAUAAAUAUACUAGUAGGCUAAAAGAAAAUACACAAUAUAGUCAUUUAUCUAUACAGGGUUUCUGCAGAAAUCAACCAGUCAGAUUUAAUACUUUUUAAUGCCAUUUUAGUGGUGUGCUGCAAAUAUUUUAAUUCCAUUACCGCAAACUCAACAAAUUAUAUGGGUUUGUUUUUUUGUAAAAGAUGAUUUUUGUAUGAAAACUUUCCCUACAUUUCACUAUUUCUGAAUCCAGAAACCACCCCUGACCACCAACGGACUGUAGGUAUUCUCUGAAAUCCAUGUUUUCUAGCCAUUUUUGCUGGCAUUUACAUUUCCCCAUUUCCCACCCUUCCUCCACCUGGUCCAGCCUGCCGGACACUAAAAAAAACAUGUACUUUUUGGCAGUUGUACUGGACCAGCUGGAAUAAUUAUCACAAUCUCGGCAUGUUUACAUAGAUGCACGUAUCUGACGAAUCACAGUCUAUAAUCAAAUAUUAUUAUUGUCAAAUAUUUUUCUUGAAAACUGCAGAAAGAAUUUUUAAUGACACUGAGAAUCAAAUUUAAUGACUUUUAAUGCCAUUUAAGGCCUUAAUUUUAGCAAAAUCCACUUAAUGACUAUUAAUGCUUUUUAAUGCCCUGCAGUAACCCUGUCUAUUGUGAAGAGCACAGCAAUAAUGUAAAGUUAAUGUAAGCUGACCUUCAUAAGUUUAAAACCUCAGUUCUCAACAACAGAGUAUGGCUGUAGAUCUGCUGCUAUGAAAACACCAAUGGAUUUGGUUAUUGCCUUAUCCCGUUCUGAAUUGCUAAGCAGGGUUUGAUGAAAUUAUUUUGGGAGCAUUGUUUGUACAGUUCGCUGUUUUUUCCUAGCAGCGGGGAUAGUUACGGUUGGAUGGUGCUUUUUCUAAUGUGUGUCUAAAUUUGACGUGUUGCUGGAUGUAUAGCUGAGGACCGCUUCACAGUGUCGGCAUACGGCUUUCGUCUUGUCCACUUGUUUUCUACUUUUUUGUACUUCACUGGGAAACCGAAGUGAUCCCGUAAACUCAUUCAGGAAAUGUUUACUGAGGUAACACAAGUGAGACGUAGGGUCCUUUCUAUCAUAGACUUCUAUACAAUCUGGUUUAUUUUUGCAACCUCUGGUGAUGCCAGAUGAAGAGAAAAGGAUCCAUCAUCAGGGCGCCAUGAAUGUCUGUAUCAAAUAUAUUACUAGAUGAGUUUAGUAGUUGAGUGACAAUAUUAUAAGACACGGAUGUAACCAACAAAUACUGUCCAUUGAUAAACAAUGCUCGGAGCCACAUGGAAAAUGCUAUGCAUCUGGGCAUGUUUGGGAGAGCUAACAUAGCAGCUGUUACGGCCACCAGUAUUGGUGUGCCAUUUUGUUUUGAGGUGGUGUUCUGUUGGGCCUUUGUGUGGGAGAAAUUUGUGUGGGUUCAGCUGUGGGUUUUGCAGAGUCUUUGGAACCCCAGCUGCCAGCCAUUUCAGCUGAUGAUACAGAGCUGAUGACGACCUGCACUGCGAUCUGGUUCUCCCUGCCCUUCGACCUUGGGGCCACCCUCCAGCUCCUCCUCCUCGGACCAAUCAGAGGCAGCCAGGCACCACACCUGCAACCUAUAUAGUUGCCACCAUGCCAUUAGUCGAGGUGGCUGGUACUUUGACCAGUCCACCCUGGUGCCUCUCUGUGUGUGAACUUUGUUUGUACUUCAAUGUGUUUCGGUCUGCAGGUAUGGUGGUGGGUUGGCGGGUACCACAGACACUUCGGUCGGUAGAUACUCCUGGUGAGCUCUGCUGACACCUUGGGUUUCUGUUGGUGGCUGCUACCUUGGUGUGGAGCCUACGGUUGGGCAGAGACUGGGGCUCCCAUUCAGCAGCCUGCCACUUUAGGAAGAAGCCAUUCUGUGUUAGAGUUUUUGUGAAUUGUGUAACCAGUGAGUGUGAGGCACCAGUUUAGUUGAGUUCGUUUUAUACACCCUUUGUAUUAGUUUUUGUUCCUGGUGGUGGGUGUUGCUUCUGUAGAUCUGUUUGGCUAGGGAGUUUAGUUUUCUUUGUGUUAGCUUAGUUACAAACUCUGUGAGCCCUCGUUAUGUUUUAUUCUGUUCUUUGUUUUAGCAACACCCUCCAGUCUUAUGUUUUAUUGUCACUUUUACGUUCCUUUGCUACUAAGCAAUAAAUCCCUUAACCUAAACCAAUAACACCUGGUAUUUUUGUUGCAUCCAGCCAACCCCUAGCGGUUGGAUCAUAACAGCAGCUCAGCUUGAUGAUGGCUACAUGAUAGGCAUCCGUAAACAUAACGAGGAGGUCGACAAAAAUAGGCAUGUGCUGUCUAAAAUAAUAGACUGCAUUAAGUUCUGUGGUGCCUUUGAGCUCGCCCUGGGAGGCCAUGUUGAGAGUGAAAGCUCCGAAAAUCCAGGUGUUUUCAGAGGGCUGGUGGAUUUUAUAGCAUCACUAGAUGCAGCUGUCCAUGAGCACCUUCAGACUGCCACUGUGUGUAAAGGGACAUCCAAAACAGUGCAGAAUGAACUCCUUGACUGCAUGCUGGCAGUUUUGAGAGAGUCCAUUAUUGAGGAAGUUCAGUGUACAGACUUCAUAUCCAUCCAGGCUGAUGAAACAAUGGACAUCUCCACCCAGUGUCAGCUUGUUCUUGUGAUCCGCUACAUCGACAAAAUUAAUGAGGUGCAGGAGAGAUUUUUUGAGUUUAUAUCUCUGCAGUCUGCCACAGCUGAGUCCAUUGCCACAGCACUUUUGGAGAGGCUGAGCCUCAUUCUCCCUGAUGACCAGAAGAGCAAGCUCAUCUCCCAGGCCUAUGAUGUUGCGAGUGUCAUGAGAGGAGCCACAGGUGGUGUACAGAAGACAGUGAGCGAUGUGUAUGCGAAUGCACACUAUUUCCACUGCUAUGCUCACCAGCUCAACAUUAUCAUGCAGCAGGUGACAUCCUGUAUCCCAAAAGUUGGUCAGUUCUUCUCUGACCUAGCUGGAUUCUCAGAAUUUUCUUCAAGAUCCCCCAAGAGAACCAGUGUGCUUGACAGAGUGGUGGCACACAGGCUUCCAAGAGCAAGCACAGUAAGGUGGAACUUCCACAGCCAUGCUGUCAACACUGUGUUUGAGCACAAAGACGACCUCCUUCAGUGCUUCGAAACCAUCAGGGACUCAGGUGACUUUGAUCCUACCACUGUCCGUGAAGCUGGAGGUUUUGUGAGACUCCUGGAGGAUGCUACCUUCUGCUUCUUCCUGGAGUUUUUCCACCGCAUCAUGCCUCAUGUGGACAUGCUCUACAGCCAACUCCAGAGGCCAUGGAUUCGGUCUUUGUCCACAGAGUGACGCAGCAUUUCACCGACAACGUGCAGAUGAUCAGAGACUCCCUCCCUACUGUCAGUGAAGAACAUCACAGCUGUGUGCCUCAGCAGCAGCUGGCCAAGAAGCGCCGCACACUGGGACCAGAUGAACUACAGAGGAUAGCUACAGAGGUUUGUGACACAAUCCUGGGCCAUGCAAAAGAGAGGUUGCCUUCACCAAAUACCUAAUCAGUGCUACACUGCUUCAAGGAGACAGAUUCCAGAAGUACGACAGCCAGUUCCCUGAAGCAGCGCUCAACACCACCAUGGAGGCCUAUCCAAUGCUGAACAAGGGCAAGCUGAAAACUGAACUGUCGCUCAUCUUCAGCAACACAGAGUUCAGGAGUUGCAAUGAUGCUGUGGCUCUGUACCAGUUCUUCAUGAGCAACAAUCUUCAGGACACCUUCUCAGAGACUGUGUCUCUCCUGAAGAUCCUCAUCACGACUCCAAUGACGACAGCUGAAUCUGAGAGGUGCUUCUCAACAAUGAAAAGAAUCAAGACGUUCCUCAGGAACACGAUGUUGCAGGAUCGUCUUAAUGCACUGACCAUGCUCUCUGUGGAAAAGAAACUUGUCAGGGAGACCCCAGAUUUUAACCAUAUUUACAUCAAUUAUUGUAUUCCGGUGUUGCCAACUCUGCUAUUUGGUUUGGUAAAUGAAGUGCACCCCCCCCAAGAGAAAAAUUCACCAGCCGCCACUGAACCACAAUAUAUACUGAUAGCUUCAUCUUGAGGCUUGGUUUGCUUUUCAGCAUGGCAAACUAAUGUAAGAUCUGCAGUGAUGCUCCAGUCUUCCUAUCAAUGCUGUUUAACACACUGGCACAGACAACAGUUUUUAGCUGCCAAAACAGGCAGUUGCAAGAAGGCAGCUCUCAUAUCCUGCAGUGUUUCCCUCUUUUAGAUUAAGGUGGCUCCUUUCUGUCAAUUCUAAUAAUUUAAAAAUAUAAAAAUUCUAAUAAUUUAUUUCUUAUUAUUUAUAGAACACCAAUUCACAACUCCAGGCACUUCACAUAGUAAGGUCAAUAUUACAGAGAGUAGGAACCCAACAAACCCAGUAAAUCCAACAAUUCCCUUUGAGAAAGCAUAUGUUUACCACCCAGCAAUAUAUAUUUAAUAAUUAGAAUUUAGAACUAAUAGAAUGAAGAAAGAUUUACUGCCCUGUUGACUUUGUCUGAUUUAAUUUUUGAUGAUUUGUAUUUUUUAAAAAUAUAGUUUUGUUAUACAGUAUUUGCAUUAAGUCAAAUAAUAAUGAGUCUAACACCACAGAUAUCCUGAUAUCUAACGUUGAAAAAUUAUUUUUACUAUAAGGGUGAGUUGCUUUAGAUUCAUCUUUCUAAUAAUGCAGGUUAAACACACUCUCAAUCUCUCUCUCUCUCACUCACACACACACACACACACACACACACACACACACACACACACACACACACACACACACACACACAUAUACUGUGUUUUUCUUACCCUAACCCUAACCUUAACCCAGACCAAAACAAUGCCUAACCCUAAAGAAACGUUUUUGCACUUUCACUUUUUUCAGUAACAACAACAUGGCCAAGAAAACACUGUUUAAACUUGUGGGGACCGAAAUGAGAUCCCCACAAGUGACAUUGUUUUCGGUUUUCCUACAGUUGUGGGGACAUUUGGUCCCCACAAGUAUAGCCAGCACCUGAGCACACACACACACACACACACACACACACACACACACACACACACACACACACACACACACACACACACACACACACACUAUACAAUAUGCAGACUGUUCAGGUUGCACUGGUCAACCAAUAUGAACUCCCUCAGACCUAGUAAUAGAAAAGGUCACUGUGUAACACACCAACCGACAGACACACACAGGAUGAAACUGACACCACUUCACUAAUUGUUGAUUUGCUGGCUAACAAAUGUGUUUUUCAGAAUUCUAAUGAGUAAUUUUACAAUUCACAAUCACAAGAGGAAGCUUCAGUAAUCUUACUGUUUGCCACUUAUUCAUCUCUGCCUGCAUACAUAGCUAUAGACACAGUCUCUUAUUCUAAUCCUCGAGACAAUGUCAGCCAAAAGAUGUUUAUUAAUAACCCAACUGGGGCCUAGAGGGGAAUAAGUGACAUAUUCACCCCGUUGGCCCUCUACUCUGUCCAUCCCAGGAGAGAUCCGGUUAUAGGCAUGACCAUUAGGUGAUGGAAUACUAUUACAGCAAAGGCAUUUCUGCCCAGUACCAAUCUGUAUUGCGUUUGUUCUAGCAUGCAAUCUCUCUACUCAUCAC